AUACUUACCUGGAUGGGGUCAAUGCGUGAUCAUGAAGGCCCAUGGCCUAGAAAGGUGACCUCCAUUGCACUUAGGAGGGGUGUCUUUCUAAGGUCUACCCAAGUGGUGGAGCCUACAUCAUAAUUUGUUGCUGAGUGGGCCUGCGUUCGUGCGGCCUGCA
rnacentral:snRNA from 1 species